GUGCCUAAAUGAAACUGGCCUUACAUGCGCUGGAGACACGCCUGUGGAUGAACCUGCUGUGGUGGGAUUCUUGCGAGUUCUGGCGUGCCUCUUGAGUUACGUUUUCACCACCGCUCCCAGUCAAGUUACACAAUCUCUGGGUUGCGGUUUCAUCAUAAUCCUCACCAAUCUUUUUGGGGCUGCUGGAUCU